UUAGCAUUUCUUCCACUCGGCAGAUACUAGAGAGAGUUCCUUCCCCAGAGAUCUCAGGUAUCCCAGGAGGCCUUGGUCCCUGGAACGCUUCCUCUUCUUGGCAGAGUUAUUUCUCCUCCAAGAAAGUCUUCCCUGGAGCCAUAAAAAACUCCCUGACAGUUGGAAACUAUUGAAGACACAUGGCAGCUGAGCGACUCCACUAAAGCCUGGAAUUACAUUUAGGCAGUGGGUGGCGGAAGCUUGGAGGAGCUGCCAUGCAGUUUCUUGUGAGAAGGCCAUCGCAGGCAGAGAGAAAACUACCAGAGAAGAAAAGACGCAAGGAGGCUGAAAGAUCAUAGGCUUAAUGGCUUUCCCAUUGGGAAGGAUUAUCCAGUCAGCGCCAAUCACGCAGGAACAUCGAUUAAGCUUCUGUUGCAUACAAAACUGCCUGGUAGCUCCAUGAUGAGCUACAAAAAGGUAAGAAACCACAAGGACAAGACUAGCAGCCUGAAGAGAAGCCAGUCGAUCGAUCGAUGGAGCCACAAUUAUCUGAGGUGCCUGAUGGAAAAGUGAAGGGUUCCAUAUGGCCAAAGAAUAGCCCCUUACCUCUUCUUCUUGGUGAUGAUGAGGACGUCGUUAAAGAGGAAGAAGUAGACCUGCUGUUUGGAGGUUCUUCUGGAGAAGAGGACAGUGUCUUCCACGUAGGCAGUCAAUUCACCCCUCUUUACUAGCCAUCGGGAGGAGGACACUAAAGGGAAAGGCUGGGGGAAAAAAUCCAACAAUAAUGAACAAUGAUGAAAGCCCCAGCUUAGUGCCAUCAACAGUAUGAUUUAAAACCAUCGUCAUGGCCAGAGAUGCAUUCUAAGAUUAGAAGAAGAAUGUUCUUGGUAAGUAUGUGCUACCCAAGUGUUUUCAGGAAGGAGACUGGGAUGACAACACUGCAAUAAAAUGUGGCGAGCACAGUCUGUCCUCUGAGCGGAGAAGGAGGAAAACAAGGCACAAGCUCUUCUGCAGGCUCCAGUACAAUCAAAAGCCAUUGAGAAAAUGUUAGAGUCCCCUGGAAUGUGACCCUCCUAUUGACCAGUGACAGGGAAAGAGAUCCAAGAGACGCACCCUCUACGCUACCCUGAUGCCUAUCCAUCAAGUCCUAAUGAUUCUAAGGAUAACUGAAAUUUAAUGCUACUAAUAAUGCAAGUAUCUCAGAUCAUGUACACGGAGGGGGAUAAAUAAAUGAGCUAAUCAGAGUCGGCACAUAUAAAUUAGAGCAGAGAUCCUUAACUUGAUUUCCAGGAACUUUUUAAGGUGAAUUUAUUAUUUGUAGGGUUUUUGUUUUAAAUUUAUUAUGUUGUUGUUACAUAUACAUAUUAUUUCUAUUAUAUACUUAGUAGAAAUGAUUUCUAUUGACUAUAUUUCAACAUUAUUGACUUCCUUUGUAACUUUACAUAUUUUAUUUUAUGCAUCAAAAAACAUGAUUCUGGAAGGGUUCAAGCUCGACAGACUGCCAAAGGCCUUCGUGGCACAAACUAGGUAAGAACCUCUGAAUUAAAAUGACUGAAGGCGUAUGCAAUUCUUUUCAUUAAUGAACGCUACGACAGAACGCUUUCCUUCUAUUUUGCCUGUGACUGGUCUGCUUCGUUAGGUUAUCAGGAACACCUGGCCUUAAAAUCCAAUGCUAGCUUUCCCCAGGGGGGGCUCAAUCCUAGCUGCAAAGGCCAACCCCCACCCCAGAAUAACGCCGCUCUAUUCAUAUAAGGCAGGCCAGAGCCAUGGGAUUACAGACUGAUAAUUCAAAAAUCUGGAAAACCCUCAAACCACAGGAAAAUUCCAAGCACUGAGAACUCACUUCUUAAAACAUACAAAGGUAAAAGAAACGGAUGGAAAGAAGAAAAAAAAAGCACAAUCAUUAAAUGAGCAUCCUGAGAUCAUACAGUCUGGAUUGUAUUAAAAGCAAAUGUCACUUUAUAGUGAUCCUCCGUAGAGAUCCAUCCGUAGAGGGGAUGGAGACUAGCAUAGGAGGGAGGUAGGAGAAUUGGGACUGUUUAGCUUGGAAAAGAGCAGGCGGAGGGACGGUUUGUUAUAACAGAUUAAAGCAUUUAAAGGAUUUCCACAAGAAUGAGGAGCCAGUGAUAGUCGAUCAUUGUUGAAGGACCGAAUAAGAAGAAAGAGAUUUCCCUGGAUGUUAGGAAGAGUCAUGGGGGCUCUCAGGGAGCUAAAGUACUGUGGGGAUUGGCAGCCAGAGGAGUGACUGUUUACAGGGUGAUCGAACAUUCUGUCUCUGGAUAAGGAGAUGAAUCAGAUAAUCUCUGGGUCUCCACAAUGUACAGCAAAGCCCAAGGCAUCUUAAUCGAGUUUAGAGCUGCUCGGCGCAGUAAUUACUAGGAUUCCAUGAUAGCAGUCUUAUCUACAAGAGAGACCCACGGCACAUAUUCCAAAGAUGGUUUGGAGGGCAUACAAAACAAGAGACAUCAUUUUAAAAAAGCUGAAAUGGGGGGACCACUGGGUAGCUCAGAGAGACAGGAGUCCUGGGUUCAAAUCUGGCCUCAGACACUUCCCAGCUGUGUGACCCUGGGCAAUUCACUUAACCCCCAUUGCCUAGCCCUGACCACUCUUCUGCCUUGGAACCAAUAUACAGUAUUCACUCCAAGAUGGAAGGUGGGGGUUUAAAAAAAAUUAAAAUGCUGAAAUGACUCUCCAUUUACAAAUAAUCAAUUUUAAUGUAACAACCAGGGAAGAAAAUAGAAUCCAUCAUUAUUGGGGGAGGGGGGGCUCUAUUUGAUUAUAAUUUGCCUUAAAGUUUGCUAAACUGUCCCAAAUAGUAUGAGAGGAUAACUACAAGUCAAAACAUAACUUUAAUAAUUUUGCUGAAUGAAAACAAUUAUAAGUCCUCCACAGCAGUGUUUAUACACAUCCUCCAAAGGGUCACGGACCGAAAUGCAGUCCUUUAUAUAGCAUUAAUAAAAAUAGGGAAGCCUUUCUGGAUUACCGUUAGCCUGUGAUCUAGCUCUGGGCUCUAUGAAAGAAGCUGAUGGUAUCUUAAGGGGAGUUUUGGUUUUAGGGAGGAAAAGGGAGGCAAGAUCUGGAGCUGAUUGUUCUGAAAGGGAUUGGGGUGGGGGGGGGGGGGAAACGUUACCUGUCAGAAUUCUUUGUUUUUUAGAAAAAUCCAAUACAUCUGAUAGAAGGUAACAGUAGGUAAUAGGCACAAGUUCAUUCAAGAGAGAGUGUAACAUUGUCUCUCAAAUUCUGGGAGGAGUACUUUGUUUUUAUUUGAAAUAAAAAAAGUAUUAUUAACAAA